rnacentral:lncRNA from 1 species
AGAUGGAGGCAGGAAGGUCAGGAGUUCAAAGUCAUCCCCAGCUGCAUGCACAGUUCAAGGUCAGCCCGUCUGACAUGAUAUUUCCCUUCAGAAAACAAACCAGAGCCUGGUGUGGUGAUGCAUGCUUUUAAUCCCAGUACUUGCCUGCUGAAGCAGGCAGAUCUGUGUGAAUUAGAGGCCAGCCUGGAGUAUAUAGUGAGUUCGAGGCUAACCAGGGCUACACAGUGAGGCCCUUCUCAAAACCAGCCAAACAACUAAACAACCAACGAAUCAACCAAUCAACCAGAGAGCCAUCCAGCCAGUCAACCAAAUAAACCAAUCCAAAUCCCAAGAGCCAAGCCUUGGACCAAAGCAUUCCUGUGUAUUUUCCUUAUUUUAAUUUUUUUUUUUAUGUGGUGGCCGGAGGGUUUGCUUAAUGGUUAAGAGCACCUGCUGCUCUUUCAGAGGACCUAGUGUUUCCUUGCAGCAUCACAACCAUCUGUAACUUCAAUCCCAGGGCAUCCAAUGCCCACUUCUGAUAUCUGAAGGCACCAGGCACAUGCAUGGCGCACAGCUGAGUCAUCUCUUCAGCCCACGUUUCUAUUUUUAUCUCAAACUAACUCUUUAGGAAAACCCAAGGCAUCUACCUUCAGCAUACACCUUAAACCACCAACCUGGACAGGCCUCCUCCUUCUUCCUUGGCUUAACUUUUGUUACCUGUCUUUGUAAAUAAAGUUUUAUUGAU